UGAGUGCUUAUUAGUUGGACAGCAAAAUAAUCCCAACUUUCCCUGGAAAGCAUGUAACAUUGAAGAUUGAAGAAUGGCUUAGAAAAUAACAAACAAGGUCUGUCAGGUUUCCAAACAAUGAUAAGUAGAAAGGGUCAACUACAUAACAUAUGCUUUCUUGAAUUCCCUUACCUUACUCGUAUAAACCGGGAGAACAGGCAAAACGAUGAGUGCUAAAGAUUUAACCAAACGAUAUACCCGAACUAAAAACCAAAGUUUUACGUUAACAUUAAUAAAACAACCCAAAGAAAGAGCAAUUGCCUUCAUGCAACUACACCACUUAUAUGUGUCUCAUACCAGUUUUAUUUUGGCUAAAAAGAAAGUAUUAGCAAAAAGUGCUGAUGAAAAGAAUAGAAGGAAAACAAGAAGACUGCUAGAAACUAUUUUUAAAUGACAAAUUUUAAUAAAAAACAAGUGCGUAAUUUCUGAAAACAAAAUGUUUCUACAAUUGUUCCAUUUCCACUUCGCCAUUUAAACAAUGUACUCAAUCCACUUGUUUUAACACUAAUUCAUUGAUUUCAUACCAUACAGGACAUGUCAGUAAGACGUGCUUAUAUUUGCUAUUGACUUUCCAUAUGUCUUGAACAUUCAGCGGUAUCGGCAAGAAGAGGAACAUCUCACGUUAAGAGUCUUAAAAUCUU